rnacentral:rRNA from 1 species
AAGGGAAGAACAAGUAGCGUAGUAACUGGCGCUACCUUGACGGUACCUUGGUAGAAGGCCACGGCUAACUACGUGCCAGCAGCCGCGGUAAUACGUAGGUGGCAAGCGUUGUCCGGAAUUAUUGGGCGUAAAGCGCGCGCAGGUGGUUCCUUAAGUCUGAUGUGAAAGCCCCCGGCUCAACCGGGGAGGGUCAUUGGAAACUGGAGAACUUGAGUGCAGAAGAGGAUAGUGGAAUUCCAAGUGUAGCGGUGAAAUGCGUAGAGAUUUGGAGGAACACCAGUGGCGAAGGCGACUGUCUGGUCUGUAACUGACACUGAAGCGCGUAAGCGUGGGGAGCAAACAGGAUUAGAUACCCUGGUAGUCCACGCCGUAAACGAUGAGUGCUAAGUGUUGGGGGGUUUCCGCCCCUCAUUGCUGCAGCUAACGCAUUAAGCACUCCGCCUGGGGAGUACGGUCGCAAGACUGAAACUCAAAGGAAUUGACGGA